GUCCUCGUCGUCGCUUCUGCAAGGCGUCGCCUCCGGGGGUGGAUGGUGCGUAGGCGUCACGUUGUGGAACGGCGACCAGGA